ACCCCCCCCCACCAACAAACGUGCUGGAUAAUGAGGAUGUUACUUCAGUGCAGAAACAGUUUCAAAUCAUUGCCUGAAGGGUGGGAUGUGACCCUCCCUGGGUCCAUUGGAUCGCCGUGUCUGGCUCUGCGCUCCCCAGGACAAGGGACAUGGGGCUCCUGGAGCAGAUCCUGCCGCGGCUGUGCAGCUCAUGAGGGGACUGGGGCAUCUCUCUUACGAGGAAAUGGCGAAUGGUUGGACUCUGUGAUCUUAGAGGUCUUUUCCAAGCUAAAUGAUUCCAUGGUUCUGUGGAAGGCUGAGGGAGCUGGGGCUGUUCAGCCUCCAGAGGAGCCCCAGCUGAGAGGGGCCCUCAGCCCUGGGUGUCCCUGUGUGCAGGGAGAGCAGGGACCAAAAAUGGCACCAGAGGAAUGGGCACGAACUGAUGCUCAGCAAGUUCCACCUGAACAUGAGGGAAAACUUUCCUGUGGGGGAACAGAUUGCCCAGAAAAGGUGUGCAGCCUCCCUAACUGGAGAUAUUCCAGACCCAUCUGGAGAUGAGCCGGUGCCACGUGCUCUGGGAUGACCCUGCUGGAGCAGGGAGGUGGCACCAGGUGACUGUGAUCCCUUCCAAGCUCACCAUGAUUCUGUGAUUCUGUGAAUCUUUUAAGGCUUGGGGCUGUCCCAUUGCAUGAAAUAGUUAACUAACUUUGUGAAAACAAUGUUAAUUGCUAAAAUAAUAACAAAAGCUGUAUGGCAGUUGUACUGUGGAGCUUUGAAUGUGUAUAUUACUCAAGGGAUAUAAGCAAGCAUGAAGACACUUCUUCCUGCCAUGAGGAUGUAAUGCCAGUGUGUAAUACCAGAGCAGCUGAAGGGAAAGGAAGAGGAGAAGGAAAGGGAGAGGAGAGAAAUUGUGUUCAUCUUUUUACAAGCUCGUUGUCUGCACUUGUAAUUCAAGAGCAAAGGAACUUUGGUGAUUUUUUCUUAAACCUGAUCAAAGCAGGAUGUGUAACACAAGCAAAAAGACAGCUCAUCCCUUCGUUCAGCUCUGCCCCACAGAGAUGCUGAAUUACAUCAAAUACCUGCUUUAGAUAUGGUGAUUGACCUUUGUCAGUGCAUUUUACAAAGAAAAGUUAUCACCCUCCCUGUCAAAUGUUACUUUGUCAACUCUACACUGAAAUGGAGUGAAUUUAAUUGCAUGUUCCCUUGUUCUUUAUGAAAGGAAAAUAUGAAUAAGAACACCUGGUUAGUCCCUUCUGUGCUGCCUUUGCCUUUGAAGGAACAUCUGUUUUUUUCCUUUGGUGGUUAUGAUAAAUUGUAGACUCAACUGGAUUUCAGAGAAUGUGGUGAGAUAGUAAUUCCCUCAAGGUGCUACUUUGAGGUCCAUGUGUUUCCAGAAAAUGUCUCUAUUCCAUGUCAGAAAUGCAAAAAAAAAUCUAAUUAUAGCAAAGUUUUGGACUGAAAGCUUCUAGGUUGUCCUCAUGCGUGUAAAUGGCAAGUUAGAAGUACAAAUAAUCUGUUUAAAGCCUUUUCUUAAAGCCUGUAUUUUUCUCUGGUUCACGCCAUCAGUUUGAUUUGGUUUCUCUAAUGUUCCCCAAAGGAAGGAACUCACCUGGGAGUCUUUUUGUGAAAUCCACCAACACCUGGACAUGGACAACAGCUGUCUCAGACAGGUGGAGGAAACUUUCCUCAGGACUUGCAGUUUCCUGUAGCUGCAAAAAGAGCAUUUGCACACUGGAUAUAGCCAAGAGACCUGACAACAGUGACUGAGCAAUGCAGGCUGGGGGUGCUGGAUACCUACAAACUUCUUGGCUUCCUCAAGGGGAAUUGUGUAUUUCUGGUGUGCUGCUACAAUGUGGUCAAGAAGCUGAUGUUCUCCUGGAGUGAGUUCCAUCUUCUCUGGGAUCUGCUAAAAAAAAUAAACCAAUCAAAUCACAACGACUUGGAGUAAGGAUAAGUGAUAAAAAGAGAUAUUUUAAAUAGAAAAAUAUCCCACUUUUCCAGAUCUUGUUGUAGAUGAUACUUGCUUACUAUUCAGUCCCUCAUCUUCCAGCUUUAUGUUGCAAAGGAAACUGCUCUUCUGCUUGAAAUUCUUCCUGAGUCGCUUUGACUUGCACUGGACUUCAGUCAGCAAACCUGGGAGGUGUGAAGUGACCAUCAGUGCUUGCAUUUUCAAUUAAUUACAGUCUGAGGUCAUCGCUUUUAUUAGAGAUAACUCCAGUCUUGCAUCACAGAAGCUGUCACCUGUCAUGAGCUAUGUUUCCUAGAGAGUGUGCCUGGGUGUUACUUAUCAGGUGAGCUGAUGUUCAGUAGCCACCAGCCUGAGGGUCUGCAGGCAUUUUUGUCCUUGUGGCUCUGUGACACACAGGCAUCAGAAUUUUUUAUCAAAGCCCAUCAUGCCAUUUUUAUUUAAACUUUUUCCCUCAAACCCUAAAGUUGGUCUGGUCCGCUCACUGCUGUCCUGACAAGUCAGGGGAUAUUUAGCUUAUCUUGCUAGUACUUCCUUUUUUUUUUUUCUUGUACUGUCUUUAAAAACAGUUCUCUUAAGCUUCCCAAGCAUUGUUGGCUUCUGCACACCAAGAUGCUAAACGUGCCACCAUUAAUUAAGUUAAUUUUCACAGAAUCACAAGGUUGGAAGAGACCUUGAAGAUCAUUGAGUCCAACCCGUUCCCUAACACCUCAACUAAACCCUGGCACCCAGUGCCACAUCUAGGCUUUGUUAAACACACCCAGGGAUGGUGACCAAGAACUUUAUCACCCUUUGAAUGAAAAACUUUUUUAUAAUAUCCAACCUAUAUGUCCAUUGAGACUGUGACCUCUGGUUCUGUCAGUGCUGCCUGGAGAAAGAGCCCAACCCCACCUGAGCACAGCCACCUUUCAGGAGCUGUGCAGAGUGAUGAGGUCACCCCUGAGUCUCCUUUUCCCCAGGCUAAACAACCCCAGCUUUUCCCCCAUUUUCCUACAGCCAAACGAAGCUUAGACCAUUAUCCUCGGGAAGAGAUUGACUUUGGAGAAGGCUUUAUCUGCGGCGAUUAGUCAAGAAUGCAGCAGGAAGGAGCACUCACAUUCUGCCAGCAUCCCCACAGCCCUGCACUUCUUGAGGCGGCACUCCUGGCACUUCCUCCUCAUGUACAUGUCCAUCUCGCAGUGCCCGCCGCUCUUGCAGCGGUACACCGCGUUCUUGGUGAUGCUGCGCCGGAAGAAGCCUGGGAACGAGCACCAGCUUGUGAAAACAGGUUUGCUUGUGAAAAUUGAGAACGUUUAAUAAAGGACAGUAGGAGACAAGGACCACAGAGCAAAGGUUGUUACAGCCAGGUGCAUCUUGGCACUCAGUUACACUACACUGUUAUUUUUGGGGAUGCACCUUAAAUACCUUUUCCAUUACAUCAGCCUGUUGCAUAUCUAUAGACUCUUAUGUAUAUCUAUAAACGAGUUUACAUUUUUCAGGAACUAUUUUACAUGCCUUCUCUUUGGUCUGCUUUUUUAGAGCAUGUGUGUUUCUUGGCUGUGGUUUUGGCUCCUUCUCUUUAUCACUUCCAGUUUGGACCUUGGUCCACAAUGUUUUCAGGUGCUGAGUUCUGAUAGUUGGCAGAUCUGUAGCAGGUGUCUUUAUCUUAUGUUCACUGGAUGUUAUCUUAUUCAAGUAGGCAUUUUAACACAAGUAUACUUAUAUUAUACUUGUGUUAAAUAUAUUAUAUAUUUAACACAAUAUACUUAUAUUUCACUACUAUGUCUAAGCUUAAUUAACAACAGAAAUAAAAACUAUAUCUUUAUAGCAAAGUUACUUUAACAUCACACAUAUAAAAUCCAUUUUAAUAUUUGUGAAUAGCCAAUAUUAUAAUAUGUAUCUAUAACAAGGUGAUGGCUGGAGCAAUCGUAGGAGCUUUAUCUCACAAGGAUUUAAAAGGGUCCUCCAGGAUUGAAUGGUUGGGGUUUUUUAAAUGGAAACAUUACCUUGAUUUUAAAUCUGCUUUUAAAAAAUAUAGUUAUGUCUGGUUCUUUCUGACUGAUCUUAAUUGACAUUUUCCAUACAUGGAAUCAUAGAAUAUGCUGAUUUGGAAGGGACCCACAAAGAUCACCAAGUCCAUCCCCUGGCCCUGCACAGACACCCCCAAAUCCCAGCCUGUGCAUCACUGAGAGCAGUGUUCAAAUGCUCCUGGAGCUCUCGGGGCUGUGCCCGUUCCUGGGCAGCCUGAGCAGUGCCCAGCACCCUCUGGGGGAAGAACUUUUCCCUAAAUCCAGCCCUUCCCUCAAGUCCUGUGCCUGGUCACAGGGAGCAGAGAGCAGAGCUGCCCCUCAUGAGACAGCUCCCAUACCAGCAAGUUAAAAUAUGAUUAGUAAGUAAUUACUACUUGCUUUUAUUCAAUUAUAAUAAUAAGUGUAAUUAAUAACACUGAAAUAAAUUUCUAAGAAAUGUUCAUGAGAAAACCAGCACCUGCUUACACUGACACUAUUCUAGCGAGUCAUCAAUGCCAAAAUGAGAUGCUUAAAGUGCUCAUAUUGAACACAGACUGUGAAAAUAUUUCCUCAAAGAACGUUAUAAAAAUGCGAAUUUGGAGUGAGCUCGUUAGACAGGUGGUUCAUGGGAUAAAUGAAAAGCCAGUGCAGUAACAGCAGCUGAAAUGCGUGUGGCAGGUUGCACUUGGUGUCCCCGCUCACCUUUGCAGCCCUCGCAGAGUUGAAGCAAGGAAAAUAGCAUGGAAAGGCCAGCAUGGAAUAUCUGUUCUUCAUCAUCAUCCCAAGCAGUAACACACUUAGGGUGGGAGCCUUGAGCCCGAGUCACACAGACUGAGCUGACAGAAAAUGUCACCUGUGAAAAGCACACGCUGUUCCUGCUUCUGCUGCUACUGGGCAUUUUCACAUGUGAAGUCCUGAGCAGCCAGAUGUUUAAAAAGAAAGAAAAAAAGGAGGAAAAGAAGAAAAAAGGAAUAUUUUCACAUGGCAAACUGCUGUAUGGCUCGAGCAGCUAUUUCUAACUGAGAGCAUGCAGAGAAGGGAUGGAAUACUCACGGUGGCUGCAGGGAGCUCCUCUCCGCGGGGCCGCAGCGGCGGUGGCAGCUCUGCUGCAGCUGCAGCCCAGCAGGCCUUUCCCUAUUUAUCAGUUUGUGUGCACAGCCCGGGCUCCAGACACUCGGCAGAGCCACGCCGCGGCUCCGAGACACCAACUUCCCACACAGCUCCUCUGGGGUCGGAGCAAGGGCAGCUGCGAGCCCACAUAAAUCACAGCACAACUGGGUCAGCAGGGACAGGGGCCACGGGGACCCUCACGUCACUGCUUCCCAGAGCCCUGCCUGCCCAGCACUAGCACUCUGCUUUCCUGCUAGAAUUUGAAUUCUCCCAUUUUGGUUGCUGCACGUUGACAUGUCAGGGUGGUGAUGGAAAAUGCUCAGUUCCCAAGAGGGGAAAAUAUUGCAGUAGUAUUAUUUGGAGAUUUUUACGUGACAUAAUAAUUUAAUUUGGAGAGGCUGGAUCAGGCCAGGACCUCCAAACACCAAACACUUACCUUGUCCUCCGUGUUCUGAUCCAGACACUCUUCUGGCUCACUCUCAGUUCAUUGGCAAUCUCAGUUCAUCUUGCCAUUAACUCAGCAAAAUUUCAUUCUUAAACCCCAAGUAUUUCCAUUAUUAGUAACUUCUAACAAAUUAAUACUGCAAUUUGGUGUUUUCAUUGUUUCCUAGGUAGAUGUGACCUUUUGGGUAGGGAAUUUUCUUGUUAAGUAUCCUGCUGUUCCAGUGCUCCCAGCAGGUUGCAAUCUCCUCACUCCAGGAGGAGCUCACCUGCCUUCUGUAAGAUCUGUUCUCCAUUCACCUCAGAAAAACUGCUUCUGUUGGAUACUGCAUGGAAUUAGAUGGGAAAAGGAAAAUAUCAUUUCCUGUUGGGCAACUUACAGCAAAGUCACUUAAAAUACUCUUUUGGGACAGCAGCUUUUCGUGGAUAAACAGCCAUCACCCUUGAAAGGAGGGACACAUUUCUGUUCCACGGGCUCCAGAGAAGAGCUGCCCCAAGGCUGCUUAUUUCCAUGUGCCAUUUACAACUCUCUCUGUGGAGUGGAAUGGUUGAGUCUUUCAAGAACAAACAGCGUUGACUAAUAAAUGUUAUUUGAGCAUAUUAUGGAGUUUUCUAAGUUUUCAGAUUCCUGCAUUGAUCAUGUGUGGUGAUGGGGGGCUGCAACACAGUGAUUAUGCAGCAGAAAUGAAGAUAAUUAUGUUCUAAGCUUAAUUAUCCUCAGCACUCGUCUUUCUGGUAAAAGCAGCCUCAUUACAGAAACUUGCCAAGUUGUCAAAAAAACUUCAAUAGUAAAACUGAAAGUUUUACAAUUGAUAUAACAAUUUUUUUUCACAGAAGUAUCUCUUUCACAAUAUCCCAUUGACUUUUUCAUCCAGCCUUUCUCAUGAAAGUUGGAAAAACAAGCAGAGCUUUUUGAAAUAUUGUGGUUAGCUUUUAAAUGCUACUGACUUUUAUUUUUAGCAAUUUUUGCUGAUAGAAGGCACCUUACUGAUAAGCUGUUCAAAUUAGCUGUAGGAGGUGGGUAUUUAGAGCCUGUUGACUCUGGGGGACUUAAGCCUGAAGCCCAGGUUUUUAAAGGGCAUCAAAUCCCCAUUCUACUCAGUUUAUAAAGCCUGCUGGUUUCAGGGUAAAUUCAGUUUCUAAAGUCAGUAUAUAAAUAAGUUUAUGUGAUAACUAUAUAAAUGUUGUAGUAGAAAUGAAUUGCUGUAAUUAAGUAUUAGCCCAAGGUUAAUUAACUCCCACACUGUAGUAAAGAAAUUAUUUUGCAUAAUCAUGAAGUGAUUCAGACCAGGUGACUGGCUAAAUACAUAUAUUUAUGUAAAUAUAGAUAUUUGCAUUAUUUUAAUAAAUCACUGCUCCUAUUCAAAGCUUAGCAUGACAAAAAUGGGAGACUCGAGGGCACACUUGAGUCACCUAAAAUACUGCUGCAAAGAAGAGGAAAAUAAACUCUUUUCCAUGCUUGUAAAUAAUCAAAAACCAGAAAGGUUAUUUAGGAGUAAGGGAGAUUUAAAUUACAAACUAGAGAAAGCAAUUACUGUGGUAAAAAUAGCACUGGAACAAGUUCCUUGUACAAUCUUCUCCACUGGCUGUUUUGAAGAUCAGUUUGGGCAACCAGAUUGAACUCAAGAAUUGUUUUCUCUGGGUUGCUUUGGUUUGUAAAGAGGACGUUUUGCAAAGGACUUUGGAAAGCUCUCUUCCAGCUCUGUUUUCUGUUAUUUUUCUAUACCUACAUGAAUUCUGUGAAACAGUGCUGAAGUCUCUGGUCAGUAACAUGCCCAGAGCCACUUCAGUGGCAAAGGAAAUAAUACCAGACUCCAAGCUUGCCUUACUAGCAGUAAGUAAACAAAGUGUCACUGACAGAUACGGCCUGAAAAUAGGAGCUGAAGGAGUUCCUGCCACGAGCCAACAUCCAGAAGUGGCACUGAAGUGGGGAAAAAGGGACACACAUGUUUUCCAUGGAAAAUGAGCAGAUCUGGUGACAGCAGCCUGACCUGGACACUGCUGCAGCACUUGUGCAGCCUCCCUGCCACCAGUGCAGACUGGGAGCUCUGGGCAGCCCAAUCCCCGUGGAGAUUGGGCAGCUGGCUCCAAGGUCUGAUGGCAGAUGAGGAAAGAGCUUCCCUCGGUCCAUACCUGCUGAGAGAAUGCUUUUCAAGGUCAGCACAAUCCUUGUUCAUCUGGACUGGAGAUUCCUGAUGUCUGUGACUCAUUUGGUAACCGAAUAGUUAAAGGAAAUCACAUCGACUCCAGCUGGAUCUUCUCUACAUAAAUGACCCGUUUGGCUUGAUCUGCUAUUGGAUUGUUUACGUAACUUCAGUAAUUAACCACUAUCAGCCUCAUUAAUGAAACAUAAACCACCUCUUCUGCUCAUUUAUAAAGCAUUUGUCAAACAAAACUCAAACAAAGGGCAGAAUCUCAGCAAAGUAACAGCCCUGCAAGAGCUACUGAGCCCUGCCUGCAAGGCACAGCAGUCACUUUGUUGUUGUUUUCCAGUAGAACUGAAGCAGAAGUGAUGGCAUUGGCUAUUGCUCUUGGCUAACUUCUCCCCAAGCCAUCUGAGAUCUGUCACAUGAGGGCAAGGAUGCCUGGACAACUAUUUUGGCCAUUUCAGUACAAAAUACUGAUGUUCCAGCUCAUUACUGUAAAUCAUUAAAUGAUGAAAGCAAGAGUCAAAUACUAAAUGAUUAAAGCCCUCAGAAAACUAAUUGCUAAUUACAGUAAUUGUUGUUCUAUGUGAAAGGUUAUAUUAAAACAAUGAUUAUUUCAUUACCGGAUUAAAUCUUUGCUGUUUGUAAACUGUUCUGAGCAAUAUUACAGAAACAAUGCAGAUCAUGUAUCAAAAUGAUCCAACCUAAUCCUUACCUAUUUUUGUGUCAGAGAAAUAAAAUGGUUCAGAGCCAUAAAAUACACUGGGAGACGCAUCCAUGCCAAAAGUUUUGUGAUCUGAGACCUUGGAUUUCCUUUCCAAUUUGUUGAGGAACUCAUGAAAAAAAUCCACAAGUUUUCUGUUCCCUCUCUCUUCUGUUAUUUCUAGAUUUUCCAAAGGUUCAGGAAUGCUGGGGGAUUGCUCCUCAUGGUGUGGAUGAACCUCUCAGUCCUGGGUGAGAAGCAGCACAGAGCCUUGUGAGCACUGAUUGUGCCUGCUGGUGUUACCUUGCACAGGGAACAGCUCCCAUUUGGUGUUCUUUGGUGUGAGAUAAUAGAAAUACUCUUUGUUUUGCCUCAAAUGUAUCAGGCAAAUCCUCACAAUCAAAUUGGAUGAGAAGAUGGAAGUUCUUGUUAAAUUCUGAAAUGCUUUUGUGGGAUUAAAUGAUGAAAUAGCAGACCAGAGAGGAAAAACAA